rnacentral:rRNA from 1 species
GAUGAACGCUGGCGGCGUGCCUAAUACAUGCAAGUCGAGCGAAUGGAUUAAGAGCUUGCUCUUAUGAAGUUAGCGGCGGACGGGUGAGUAACACGUGGGUAACCUGCCCAUAAGACUGGGAUAACUCCGGGAAACCGGGGCCAAUACCGGAUAACAUUUUGAACCGCAUGGUUCGAAAUUGAAAGGCGGCUUCGGCUGUCACUUAUGGAUGGACCCGCGUCGCAUUAGCUAGUUGGUGAGGUAACGGCUCACCAAGGCAACGAUGCGUAGCCGACCUGAGAGGGUGAUCGGCCACACUGGGACUGAGACACGGCCCAGACUCCUACGGGAGGCAGCAGUAGGGAAUCUUCCGCAAUGGACGAAAGUCUGACGGAGCAACGCCGCGUGAGUGAUGAAGGCUUUCGGGUCGUAAAACUCUGUUGUUAGGGAAGAACAAGUGCUAGUUGACUAAGCUGGCACCUUGACGGUACCUAACCAGAAAGCCACGGCUAACUACGUGCCAGCAGCCGCCGUAA